UCGGUCAUUGCGUCAACCGCAACAACAACCACAACAAACCAAACACAACAACAACCUACACGAUACAAUCAUCCAAGUACUGGUAACGUAACUCUUCAGACACAACUACUAUAUAUCCAUGGCGCGUACUGAAAGCAAUCCUCGUCGUCAAAGUGGUGGUGGCGGCGGCCGUAGACGAUCCGGCAGUGGAGGUGGAGGCGGUGGCGGCGGCCGAGGAGGUGGAGGUGGACGGAAGACCCCUGAGAAGACUGUGGCAGCC
rnacentral:rRNA from 1 species